GGGUGUAUAGCUUAGGUAGAGUAUUGGGCUUUUAACCUAAUGGUCGCAGGUUCGAGUCCUUCUAUACCCA
rnacentral:tRNA from 1 species